GACGAACGCUGGCGGCGUGGAUUAGGCAUGCAAGUCGAACGGUAUCAUCCUUUCGGGGGUGAGAGAGUGGCGAACUGGUGAGUAACACGUAGGUUAUCUACCCUCAAGACGGGGACAACCCAGGGAAACUUGGGCUAAUACCGGAUGUGAGCAACUUUUAGUUGUUUGAAAGGUGGCGUAAGCUGUCGCUUGGGGAUGAGCCUGCGUCCUAUUAGUUAGUUGGUGAGGUAACGGCUCACCUAGGCAAUGAUAGGUAGGCGGCCUUAACGGGUGGUCGCCCCACACUGGGAUUGAGAUACGGCCCAGACUCCUACGGGAGGCAGCAGUCGAGAAUAGUCUACAGUGGUCGGAAGACUGAUAGUGCGACGCCGCGUGAACGAUGAAUCCCUUCGGGGUGUAAAGUUCUUUUAUAUGUGAGCAGUGCUUCUUAUAUUAACAGUAUGGGGAGAGAGAUAUUAGCAUAUGAAUAAGCAACGGCUAACUCCGUGCCAGCAGCCGCGGU
rnacentral:rRNA from 1 species